CGCUGAGGUAAGAGUGACCACAUAUCACAACAAAACAAUAAAAGUACUCUCGCUGAGGUAAGAGUAACCACAUAUCACAACAAAACAAUAAAAGUACUCUCGCUGAGGUAAGAGUAACCACAUAUCACAACAAAACAAUAAAAGUACUCUCGCUGAGGUAAGGGUAACCACAUAUCACAACAAAACAAUACAAGUACUCUCGCUGAGGUAAGAGUAACCACAUAUCACAACAAAACAAUAAAAGUACUCUCGCUGAGGUAAGGGUAACCACAUAUCACAACAAAACAAUACAAGUACUCUCGCUGAGGUAAGAGUAACCACAUAUCACAACAAAACAAUAAAAGUACUCUCGCUGAGGUAAGAAUGACGAUAUAUAACAACAAAACAAACAAAAAAAAAGUGUUGGCAAAACCUUCAAACACCACCAACCGCCCAGCUGACACUGACACUGACACAAGCUUGCAAACACACUAACUGGUGUCUUUUGGCAGUAUAGCUGUGAAAGGUUUUCUUCCAUUUUUGCAGGGUGUUCCAGCCCGUUACACAGAACUACACAGGGCAUAUCAUGGAUGUCUAGUGGAGAAGACACAUUUGUUUAUCUGUCCUUCACAUGACCAUAUGCUAUCAAAAUGUAUUUGAGGAUGGUACCAAAACUAGUUGCCUAUAAAACCAUACCUCAAAAAGUGUCAAAUUCUUGCAUAGUGUUACUUUAACUUAACUUAAUGACGAUACAUUAUCUUACUUAUCGAAUGGUAAUUAAAGCAUUUUGUUAAUGACACUAUUAGAACCUCGCUUCAGACUGAGAGUUAGUGUGUUUGUGUGUGUGUGAGUUCCCUUUAAUGGUAAUUAAAGCAUUUUGUUAAUGACACUAUUAGUACCUUGGAUCCGUAGGAUACGAUCACUUUAAUGGUGUUGUGGUUCUACUUUAAUGGUUUACCAAAGGGUAA
ensembl:lncRNA